UCCAAACAAAUUAAUAUUUGGACACGAUAAUACAUAACCAGUGUAAAUAUAAUAGAGAAGUACACUGGACGAUCUAAUUACCUCUUUGUUCGCACAAUGUACUUGUACUUGAUGUAGAAUACAUCUGUGUGAAAUCCCACUAAUCUAAAUUGAUAGUGUUGUGCAAAUGCCUGAACCCAUCACAUUAUUUCCAGAGAACUGAUAAGAAGCAGCUUUACAGUUCAGACUUGUGAUUAAGAUAGCAAGAAGUGUUGCUAUUUGACCUAGUUGUACUUCUUUUGAAAUACUUUGAAUGCAGGGUGUAGCCUAUGUUAGGUUAAUCUACAACACCAUCUCAAAAAGUCAAGAAACCAUAGAGGAAAACAACUUGAGAAUGUUCUCAUGCAUACUUGUCGCUGUUAUGCCUCAACAUGCAAGUCAUAUCUGUUCCACUUUGAGAUCAUCGCAAGAUGGAAUGAAGAUGCAGGAAACUAUUACAAGUACUAACUAAUGUUUUCAUUUUGUUAACUCCCACUGGUCCUCAAUAGACACACCCAAAAACUAUUAUUAUCUCUCCACUUGACUCAACAUGAAGACGGCCUACAGACUCAACUCUGAAUCCAAGAAACAAAACCAAGUGGCCUUGGAGACUAUAUUGCAGAGGUAUUUAUUAUUGCUCUUGUGCUGUCUCACAAAUCUAAUGACUCAGCCAGGCAGUCACAUGACCUCACACAGUCACAGUGGCCACAAAGUGAUUCAUUUACAUGAAACACGGCAGUAAUCUAUAUUUACCUAAAAGAGAGAUACCAGCUCACCCGUGACCCAAGUCAGGACGAGCAGUAUUAAAAAUGGAUGAAAGAACAGACUAUGAAAAACAACAGCUGUCAUCUAUAUGACUGUCUGCUUAAAAGUAAAUUUCAAAGAAUUCCAUUUAGAAAUUGAGACACAUACAAGAGGCAGUUUCAGUUUGAUUGUGCAAAAUACAGGUCAUGCUCUGGAAUAAAAUCAACACGACAAACACAGUAUGUGGAGGGAAAUUGCAACUGUGCACAUUAAAGAUGAGGAGAGAGAGAAAGUCAUCCGCAAAGUGUGCACAGCAUUGAAAAUAAAUAAAUAAUUGGGUGGAAAGCUCAAAUUGGUUUUGCUCACAGAUUUUUGCUGAUUAAAGUUCAUUGAACUCUUAUACAUGUCAUUAUACAGAAUGAUAGAACGACUUAGUUAUCUCUGCCUGGUGUCGUGUUUGUGUAAACAAAGACAAUUUAAGACUAUUUAUUGUGGCUGAGUUUACUUUGGUUUAUGUUAUUUCAUUUGAAAAAUGUUUUAAAGUGAAGUUGUUGUGCAAUAUUUGUAUUUUUUUAACUAUAUAUUUACAUUAAUCAAAUAAAUUGGUAAUAUAUUGAUAUAUUUAUUCAGUGCUUAAGUUUUUUCUUUUUCAACUGACUACUUAAUGUAUGCCAAGUAAUAAUUUUAGGGAAUGGACAGUUGCCUAAUUUCAUUUUAUUUUUUACACCAACAUGACAGUUUGGAAUGUAAAAAUAGCCUGAUACAUGAAGUCAACUGCAACAAUGGAACAUUUUAUAUGACUGUUAUGUUGUAUUAUUUUAAUGCACACCCAGUAAAGAGUUAAGAGAUUUCAUUAGGAAAAAGUCACUUUUAAACCUUGUGUCAUUGUGUGCAUAGACAUCCAGGCUCACAGAACAAGCCUAUCUUUGUGCUUUGCAAGAUGAGCCGAGCUUUUGUUUGUCUUACCAAAAAAAAAAAAACGGCAACACGCUGACGCGGUUCGUCUGCGUCCUUCAUCAUCGUUGCACCAAUGAGCCAGUAGGCGUUCAGAUUAAUACCAUCAGUGCAAAUGCAAACAUACUCUCGCUACCAAAGUACAUAUAAGAGGGAAAGGUAAAUGUAGUCCAAAGUGAGAACUGAAAAAAUAUCCCCACUGUGGAAAGAAUUCAUGAACGGACGGACUGACGGAUGGAUGGAUGGAAUUCUGCCUAACAAUACUUUGGCAGCACAAAUAUGUGAACCAAAACAAAAUCAAAAUACAGUUUAUUUAAUAAAAUCUAUUAGCGUAUCGGAGUAUUAUUUUUUCAUUCAUUGUAUUCACUCCAAACACAUUUCUCCACACAAAACUGCAUGGUCACGUCGCCGCAUAAUAAGAUUCAUUAACACAGUCCUUGCAUUGCUGGAGGGCAAAUUGGGAAGAUAACAAAAGUCUUGCCCCAUCUUGUUCAGCAAACUGUUGGUCUAACUGUGAUUGCACAACAUGACAAUGUUGUAUCAGCUCGUGGAUUUUGGUGGGAAAAUAAUCCAUUUUGACAUGAUGCAUUUUCGACUUUGUUCACUGGGAGGAAACAGAAAAGGCUGCUUGUUCUUUUCAACACAGUCAAGCUGUGAAAAGGCCUCUAAGAGUAACCAGCACAAAAACGAGACAUGGGAGGUUGGAAUAACGACUCUGGCUCCCUGUUUCUUCCAAAUUUGAACACUUAGAGAGCACUCAGUGGUGAGGCUCCUCCGUACUUGGUGGUCAUUUCAUUGUUCUGUUAGGCCACUGCGGUCUGCUGACUGCGUGCUGUCUUUCACACAAGAACGAAAGCCAAAGAUGAUCGAGAUUUGCAGUCUGCUGCUGCCACAUUGGAGACUGUGCUGCCUUUUGUCUGAAGGUUUUUACUAGGAGUAAUGUAAGACUGUAUGCUGAUUUUUUUUUAUUUUCACCAUGUGAAGCAAUCCCUGCAAAAUAAAAAAUACUUUCCCUGUGUUCCACCACAAAUGUUUUGUGUUACUGUAGUCCACAUAUGCUGGCUUCAAGUCAAGUUAAAACAAAAGAGACUUUGUUUAUUAAGCUGAUUUGCAGUGAAUUCCGCAAACGACUCCGUUUUAAUGUGGAUCGUUUAGCGCAACGGCGCGUUGUGGGUGGAAGCGUAGGAGCACGUUGAGAUGGAUGGGCUUCAGUCCUAACAUGCAAGUGCUUGAGGAAAAAACGCACACAUCUGGAAGUACUUUUUGCAUUGGGGUCAUUCACUGAGGGCCCACUUACCCUCCUCCCCCAUGCAACAAAAUAGUCACUUUCACAAAUAGAUACAGUCCAGUGGGAGACAGGUGGAGGGCAGGGGGUGUGUUUGUAGUUUUCUUAAAGACCUACUCGAGCAUUUAAAUGAAUGAGGGCUAGUUGUCAAAUCUCCAAUCUCUUAUAUAACUUGUAAAGCCACACGUUUAUCUGAGAACUACUUCUUUUGGGGCCUCGGGUGUUGUCAAGACAAAGGGAGCAUCGUGUGAAUGUUUGCUUUGUGUGGAGGGUCUUUUGUAUUUAUUCAAGCCUCUUUCUUUGCUUGUUACCUUGGCAGGAUACCAGCCUAAACUAGCUGGCUAACAUGCCAAACUCCAGCACGCCGGCUUAGUGCUCACUUGACAGUUUCUGAGGUCUAUUACACACUAGUGGUCUGUGUGUUGCUCUCAACUAAAAGGCAAAAUAAGAUUUUGUCUUGGAAUCUUAUCAAGAUUGCUGCAUUUGUAUCUCCAUAUAUGGUAAAAUCUGCUCAGACUCAAAAGUUAUUUUGUUAUUUUCUGCUCAGACCCAAAUGUGCUUGUUGUUUUGAAGCGAGGCACACCCGGUCUGUUGCGAAGUAGUCAUUGUCCUGAGACACAUGUAUUUUCAACAAAAUGACAAAUAUAGAAUGGAUGGUGACACAGUCUUUCCUCAUGGGUGUUUUUUUGUUACCAGUAUUUACAGAGUAGACUGACACACCUAACAUGUCAGACAGAAGAGAGAGAGAAAUCUCGAUUUAUUACACAUUUGGAAAAAUACAGCAUGUCCAUACAAAUAUAAAUCUCUGCACUGGAUCUUUGAUUGUACGUGAUCUGGUUGUAUUUACAGCACAAGGACAUGACACUUUUAAAGCCAGAACCUCGUUAUGCUUUGUUGACAUUCAAAAAUAGUCUUGAACCUGGCCAUUUCUUCAGUCCACAGGAAAGGGUUCAUCUCUCAUCCGUAAUGCUUUAAUGGAGACAGUAAAAGGGAAGUGUGGUCAAUGUGGUCCCUGAUAGUUUUCCUCUCACAUGUCAUGAAAUAUAGGUAGCCACUUUGUCAAAGGGAAUGUGGGUGACCUUAUGCAACAAAGCGCACAUACGGACGUGUCCACGAGUUGGCUUACAAGUUGACGUUUUUGUAUUUGACAGGUUCUUCAAAAUCAAUUAGAUUGGUUUCCAGUCACUAUCGAAGCAAACUGUGGUGAUAUUAUUAUUCAUUAACCCCUGCUUUAAGUCGCAUAAUUAUUUAGACCUUUAUGAACUUGUCAGCUAUCUUAAUUUAGCAUUGUAAGAAACUAAUUAUGCACGAUGCCGAGCUCUGGGAAUGCAGUAGUUGUGAGGUGUGGAACCUGUUGUUUCAUACGUAAGCUAAUGCAGUCUUUAACUUACUAUAGGCUAAGAAGUCUUAUGCUUUCUGAUUAGCGUCUAACUCAAAACAGCAGCAAGAUCCUUAAUAAUCUUCAAAAAUGGCUAAAAUAAUGCCUUAAUGUGUUGGUAAAAGCUGUGUCCCAUUGACAUAACCAGCAGUUCUAUAAAGAACCUUUGGCCUACUUUUUUUGUGAGGAAAAUAAGUCCAAACACAUUGCUAAUGCGUGUUCAGAUGAAGAAUGUUAAUAUGACAUUAUGCUUUGAAUGCAUAGUGACCAUUUCAUGCCCAUCAUCCAUUAAAGGCAAGGUGACACCUCUUAAAGCUUGGGGAAGAGGUAUGUAUGCGAUUGGAAGGCACAGUGCUGGUAUAAAGACUAAAGAACAGACUGGACCGUAUGUUCAGGAUUACAACACAAUGCCAUUGCGGUUGCAGUUGAGUACCUCAUAGUGUUGGGUCUGACCCAGCUGCCUGUGAAACUGCCCUUGUUUCUGGGUCCUCAAGCAGCGGAUGUUCUGUCCUAGCAUAAUACUUUUUAUGGCGGGGAGGGGAGAGAGCAUGUCCCACGGUAAGGACGUCACUCCAGAGCCAGAUAAAUUCAGCUCCUGGAGCGAGUCCAG